rnacentral:rRNA from 1 species
GCGUGGGAUCUGCCCUUGGGUUCGGAAUAACAGUUGGAAUGACUGCUAAUACCGGAUGAUGACUUCGGACCAAAGAUUUAUCGCCCAGGGAUGAGCCCGCGUCGGAUUACCUAGUUGGUGAGGUAAAGGCUCACCAAGGCGACGAUCCGUAGCUGGUCUGAGAGGAUGAUCACCCACACUGGGACUGAAACACGGCCCAGACUCCUACGGGAGGCAGCAGUGGGGAAUAUUGGACAAUGGGCGAAAGCCUGAUCCAGCAAUGCCGCGUGAGUGAUGAAGGCCUUAGGGUUGUAAAGCUCUUUUACCCGGGAUGAUAAUGACAGUACCGGGAGAAUAAGCCCCGGCUAACUCCGUGCCAGCAGCCGCGGUAA